rnacentral:rRNA from 1 species
UGAUCAAGCUACAAAGAGCGCAUAAUGGAUGCCUUGGUGCCAAUAGGCGAUGAAGGACGUGGCUAACUGCGAUAAGCCUCGGAGAGCGGUAAACACGCUGUGACCCGGGGAUUUCCGAAUGGGAUAACCUGAGUGGGGUAACACCUGCUCGAGUUCCUGUGAAUACAUAGCAGGAACAUCGCGACACCCGGUGAAGUGAAACAUCUCAGUAACCGGAGGAACAGAAAGCGAAAGCGAUUCCGUCAGUAGUGGCGAGCGAAAGCGGAAGAGACCAAACCCCGCUCAUUCAUGCGCUUUACCAACCAUAUCGAUUUGAAAAGCCGCAGGCUUUUCAAAGCCUCUCUCAAAGGGUGGCAAUCGUGCGGAAAGUAGAGCGUAAGAAUGAGCGGGGGGUUGUAGGAGCCCGAUGUGGUAGUGCAACGGUUAGAUGAAGCGAAUGGAAAAUCGCUCCAUAGAGGGUGACAGGCCCGUAAUCGAAAACCCGCGCACGCCUAGGGAUUUCCUGAGUAAUACGAUGCACGUGAAACUUCGUAUGAAUCCACGCCGACCACGGCGUAAGUCUAAAUACUAAUUGGCGACCGAUAGUGAACAAGUACCGCGAGGGAAAGGUGAAAAGAACCGCUGUGAGCGGAGUGAAAUAGUACCUGAAAUUAUGUGCUUACAAGGUGUCAAAGCCCAGCACUUUCUGAUUCCAUGGAAAACGUGUCUUACGUUUACGUGUUGAAGAAUCCGAAAAGUCGGGCGUUAUACUACGGCUUUAGUAGCAACCUGAGGCAGCGCUUCGAGCAGCAUCAAAAGAUGUCGAAGCAUGCCGGAUGGACGCUGGUCUACUAUGAAGCGUAUUCGAAUGAGCAGGACGCGAGAGAUCGCGAACGCCAACUCAAACAAUACGGAGCCGCGAGAGGUCAUCUCAAACAACGUAUAAUGCGAAGCCUUUCAACAUCCGCCGAGGAGUUAGAAAGUGCUGGGUGAUGGCUUGCCUUUUGCUUAAUGAGUCUGCGAGUUAUUGUCAGUGGCGAGCCUAAGCCGUUCUGCGGUGGAGGCGAAGCGAAAGCGAGUCCGAAAUGGGCGAUCCUAGUCGCUGGCAGUAGACCCGAAGCCGAGGUGAUCUACCCAUGAGCAGGCUGAAGGUUGCUUAACCGCAACUGAAGGGCCGAACCCGUGAAGGUUGAAAACUUCUGGGAUGACUUGUGGGUAGGAGCGAAAGACUAAUCAAA